rnacentral:sRNA from 1 species
UCUCUCAAGGCUGUGUGGUGUGGUGGCCUCAUAGUGGCACCCUGGCGUUGGCCCUUGGUUGGGGGAGUGUCUCUGCCACUCCCUGGUCUCCUGCCCAUGCCACCCUUUCUGAUCUCUGACGUCUCUCCUGCAGCAACUGACCAACCACAUCCGGGAGUCGCUGCCGGCCCUACGUAGCAAACUACAGAGCCAGCUGCUGUCCCUGGAGAAGGAGGUGGAGGAGUACAAGAACUUCCGGCCCGACGACCCCACCCGCAAAACCAAAGCCCUGCUGCAGUACGUACCCCGGCACCCACCACCACCACCAGCCU